rnacentral:rRNA from 1 species
CCUACGGGUGGCAGCAGUGAGGAAUAGUGGUCAAUGGGCGCGAGCCUGAACCAGCCAAGUAGCGUGAAGGAUGACUGCCCUACGGGUUGUAAACUUCGUUUAUAAAGGAAUAAAGUGAGGCACGUGUGCCGUGUUGUAUGUACUUUAUGAAUAAGGAUCGGCUAACGCCGUGCCAGCAGCCGCGGUAAUACGGAGGAUCCGAGCGUUAUCCGGAUUUCUUGGGUUUAAAGGGAGCGUAGAUGGGUUGUUAAGUCAGUGGUGAAAGUUUGCGGCUCAACCGUAAAAUUGCAUUUGAUACUGGCAGUCUUGAGUACAGUUGAGGUAGGCGGAAUUCGUUGUGUAGCGG